rnacentral:lncRNA from 1 species
UGAGAGUCGCCUUGUAGCCGUCGUGAUCGCCGCCGAGUAGUCGACGUGAUCGCCGCCGUCCUGCCGCCCAUCACAACGUAGUAGCUUAGGCACCGCCCGUGGUUCCGGUGAACCGCCUCCGCCGCCCUGACCGCCGCCGUCCCGCCUUCGCCGCCCUUAUCGCCGUCGUAGAAAUUCGUAGAAAUUCGUCAAAAUUCGUAGAAAUUCGUAGAAAUUCGUAGAAAUUCGUAGAAAUUCGUAGAAAUUCGUAGAAAUUCGUAGAAAUUCAUAGAAAUUCGUAGAAAUUCAUAGAAAUUUGUAUAAAUUCAUAGAGAUUCAUAGAAAUUCAUAGAAAUUCAUAGAAAUUCAUAGAAAUUCAUAGAAAUUUGUAUAAAUUCAUAGAAAUUCAUAGAAAUUUGUAUAAAUUCAUAGAAAUU